AAGUCGUAACAAGGUUUCCGUAGGUGAACCUGCGGAAGGAUCAUUAACGAGUUUUGAAGUGGGUUUGAUGCUGGCCUUCCAAGGCAUGUGCUCGCCCUACUCUUCAUCCACUCACACCUGUGCACCUAUAAAAUGUUGAAAGAUUCAUCCCCUAGACUUCGUCAGGGGUGCGGUUAGGGGAGACCUUGGCCGUUGGGUUGGAUCUUUUGCGUUUUAACUUUUCUAUAAACUCUUGAAUGUUAUAGAAUGUCUUAUGGCCUACGGGCUUGUAUAAAUUGAAAUACAACUUUCAACAACGGAUCUCUUGGCUCUC
rnacentral:misc_RNA from 1 species